rnacentral:rRNA from 1 species
AUUGAACGCUGGCGGCAUGCUUUACACAUGCAAGUCGAACGGUAACAGGCCUUCUGGUGCUGACGAGUGGCGUACGGGCGAGUAAUGCAUCGGAACGUACCCAGAGGUGGGGGAUAACGCAGCGAAAGCUGUGCUAAUACCGCACGUGAUCUGAGGAUGAAAUGGGGGGCCCUUGCAGCAAAGUUUGGCCUCGCGCCUUUGCAGCUGCCGAUGUCGAAUUUGCUAGUGGGUGGGGUAAAGGCCUACCAAGGCGACGAUCAGUAGCUGGUCCGAGAGGGCGACCGGCCACACUGGAACUGGGACACGGCCAAGACUCCUAGGGGAGGCAGCGGUGGGGAAUUUUGGACAAUGGGCGCAAGCUUGAUCCAGCAAGGCCGCGUGGGGGAAGAAGGCCUUCGGGUUGUAAGCCGCUUUUGGAAGGAAGGAAACGGUGUCCGCUAAUAACGGGAGAUAAUGACGGUACCUGCAGAGUAAGCACCGGCUAACUACGUG